rnacentral:lncRNA from 1 species
AGGUUCGGUAGAGAGGCAAUGAGGCAUUCAGGGUCGGCGGUCUAGGGUUCUCGCUUCUCUCGACGGGAACGAUAAAGGGAUUGGAAAGGUCGAGUGAAGAGAUUGGAGAAUGAUUAACGAUAAUGAAGGUGGCGCAGGAAUGGGUGUUUUGAUUUUUAGGGAUUUGGCGAUUUGGGAACAUUGAACGUGAUUCUGUUUUGUUUGUGUGGGUGAGUGUUUGUAUGUUUUUU